CGUGGCCCCGGAGCGGGUGGCGGCUCUGCCGGGCUGGCGCAUCGCUCUUCCCGGGCGCCCUACCCUUCGGAGCGGAGCAGCGCAACUCCAGGAGCGGCAGGACCAUCGGGCAGGCAGCUCUGAAAGAAAAGCCCUGUGCCUGCAGAGUGUUGUCAGUUGCAGACAACUGUACCCACAUGAAACCCUGCUGCUGUCUCUGCAUGAUUUCAAAGUUAAGAGUCCCAUAAAGCCUAAUGGUAAGCCAACUACUCAGCUUAUGGCCAGUUCUCAUUUGCACUACGACUGAAAACUAUCUAAUGGAACAAACAUGAGU
rnacentral:lncRNA from 1 species